rnacentral:rRNA from 1 species
AUGUUGAAUUGGACUGCUAGAUAUCAGAUAGGCCUAGGAGUUGCAAGAGGGUUGGCCUACUUGCAUGACAGCUGCCGAGACUGCAUCAUACACUGUGAUAUCAAGCCAGAAAAUAUACUUCUUGAUUCUUCACUCCUUCCAAAAAUUGCAGACUUUGGAAUGGCAAAACUUAUAGGAAGGGAUUAUAGCCGAGUAUUGACAACAAUGAGAGGAACUACAGGGUACCUUGCGCCUGAAUGGAUAAGCGGUGUUCCUAUUACACCAAAAGUCGAUGUUUAUAGCUACGGGAUGGUGUUGCUGGAAAUAAUAUCUGGAAGGAGGAACUCAUGUGCAUCAUGUCCUAGUGGUGGCAAUGUUGAUGUUUAUUUCCCUGUGUAUGCCUCACAUAAGCUUCUCAAAGGAGACAUCAAGGGUUUGGUAGAUCACAAGCUAGAUGGCGACAUCAAAUUGGAUGAGGUUGAACUGGCUUGCAAGGUUGCAUGUUGGUGCAUCCAGGAUGAUGAGCUUGAUCGGCCAACAAUGGGACAGGUAGUUCAAUUUCUCGAAGGCCUGGUUGAGAUCACAAUGCCCCCGGUACCAAGAUUGCUCCAAGCUAUGGCCGGAAGCGCACAUCAAAAAUGCUCCUAA